rnacentral:rRNA from 1 species
UGGGGAAUAUUGCACAAUGGGGGGAAACCCUGAUGCAGCAACGCCGCGUGAAGGAAGACGGUCUUCGGAUUGUAAACUUUUGUUCUUAGUGAAGAAUAAUGACGGUAGCUAAGGAGGAAGCCACGGCUAACUACGUGCCAGCAGCCGCGGUAAUACGUAGGUGGCAAGCGUUGUCCGGAAUUACUGGGUGUAAAGGGAGCGCAGGCGGGAAAUCAAGUUGGAUGUGAAAUGUCGGGGCUUAACCCCGGAACUGCAUCCAAAACUGAUAUUCUUGAGUGAAGUAGAGGUAGGCGGAAUUCCGAGU